UACGGGGGGGGCAAGCGUUGUUCGGAAUUACUGGGCGUAAAGGGCUCGUAGGUGGCCAACUAAGUCAGACGUGAAAUCCCUCAGCUUAACUGGGGAACUGCGUCUGAUACUGGAUGGCUUGAGUUUGGGAGAGGGACGCGGAAUUCCAGGUGUAGCGGUGAAAUUCGUAGAUAUUGGGAAGAACACCAGUGGCGAAGGCGGCUCACUGGCCCGUAACUGACGCUGAGGUGCGAAAGCGUGGGGAGCAAACGGG
rnacentral:rRNA from 1 species